rnacentral:tRNA from 1 species
CUCCUCAUGGUGAAAUGGAUAUCACAAUCGACUUCGGAUCGAUUGUUAGGGGUUCGAAUCCUCUUGGGGAGACCA